rnacentral:rRNA from 1 species
CGGGGUGCAGCAGGCGCGAAAACUUUGCAAUAAGCGAAAGCUUGACAGGGCUAUCCCGAGUGCCAUCCGCUGAGGAAGGCUUUUACCCAGUCUAGAACGCUGGGGGAAUAAGGAGAGGGCAAGUCUGGUGUCAGCCGCCGCGGUAAUACCAGCUCUCCGAGUGGUGUGGAUGUUUAUUGGGCCUAAAGCAUCCGUAGCUGGCUAGGUUAGUCCCCUGUUAAAUCCACCGAAUUAAUCGUUGGAUUGCGGGGGAUACUGCUUGGCUAGGGGACGAGAGAGGCAGACGGUAUUUCCGGGGUAGGGGUGAAAUCCUAUAAUCCCGGGAAGACCACCAGUGGCGAAGGCUGUCUGCUAGAACGCGCCCGACGGUGAGGGAUGAAAGCUGGGGGAGCGAACCGGAUUAGAUACCCGGGUAGUCCCAGCUGUAAACGAUGCAGACUAGGUGUUUGGACGGCCACGUGCCGUUCUAGUGCCGCAGGGAAGCUGUUAAGUCUGCCGCCUGGGGAGUACGAUCGCAAGAUUGGAACUUAAAGGAAUUGGCGGGGGAGCAC